ensembl:snRNA U1 U1 spliceosomal RNA
AUACUUACCUGGCAGGGGAGAUACCAUGAUCACGUAGGCGGUUUUCCCAGGACGGGGCUUACCCAUUGCACUCCGGAUGUGCUGACCGCUGCGAAUUCCCCAAAUGUGGGAAACUCGACUGCAUAAUUUGUGGUAGUGGGAGACUGCGUUCGCACUUCCCCCUG